UACGUAGGGUGCAGGCGUUAAUCGGAAUUACUGGGCGUAAAGCGUGCGCAGGCGGUUUCUUAAGUCAGAUGUGAAAGCCCCGGGCUUAACCUGGGAACUGCGUUUGAAACUGGGAGACUUGAGUGUGGCAGAGGGGGGUGGAAUUCCACGUGUAGCAGUGAAAUGCGUAGAUAUGUGGAGGAACACCGAUGGCGAAGGCAGCCCCCUGGGUUAACACUGACGCUCAUGCACGAAGGCCAGGGGAGCAAACGGG
rnacentral:rRNA from 1 species